rnacentral:ncRNA from 1 species
CUAUGACUUUUUUGUCAUGGCGGAAGGAG